rnacentral:rRNA from 1 species
CGAACGAAGCAUAGGAGUGGAAUUUUUCGGAAGGAAACAACUAUGACUGAGUGGCGGACGGGUGAGUAACGCGUGGGUAACCUGCCUCAUACAGGGGGAUAACAGUUAGAAAUGACUGCUAAUACCGCAUAAGCGCACAAAACCGCAUGGUUUGGUGUGAAAAACUGAGGUGGUAUGAGAUGGACCCGCGUCUGAUUAGCUAGUUGGAGAGGUAACGGCUCACCAAGGCAACGAUCAGUAGCCGACCUGAGAGGGUGACCGGCCACAUUGGGACUGAGACACGGCCCAAACUCCUACGGGAGGCAGCAGUGGGGAAUAUUGCACAAUGGGGGAAACCCUGAUGCAGCAACGCCGCGUGAGUGAAGAAGUAUUUCGGUAUGUAAAGCUCUAUCAGCAGGGAAGAAGAGAGACGGUACCUGACUAAGAAGCCCCGGCUAACUACGUGCCAGCAGCCGCGGUAAUACGUAGGGGGCAAGCGUUAUCCGGAUUUACUGGGUGUAAAGGGAGCGUAGACGGCUUGAUAAGUCUGAAGUGAAAGGCCAAGGCUUAACCAUGGAACUGCUUUGGAAACUAUGAGGCUAGAGUGCUGGAGAGGUAAGCGGAAUUCCUAGUGUAGCGGUGAAAUGCGUAGAUAUUUAGGAGGAACACCAGUGGCGAAGGGGGCUUACUGGACAGAAACUGACGUGAGGGCUCGAAAGCGUGGGGAGCUAACAGGAUUAGAUACCCUGGUAGUCCACGCGUUAAACGAUGAAUGCUAGGUGUUGGUGGGCAAAGCCCAUCGGUGCCGUCGCAAACGCAAUAAGCAUUCCACCUGGGGAGUACGUUCGCAAGAAUGAAACUCAAAGGAAUUGACGGGGACCCGCACAAGCGGUGGAGCAUGUGGUUUAAUUCGAAGCAACGCGAAGAACCUUACCAAGUCUUGACAUCCUCCUGAAUGAUGGGUAAAGCCAUCAGGCCUUCGGGACAGGAGAGACAGGUGGUGCAUGGUUGUCGUCAGCUCGUGUCGUGAGAUGUUGGGUUAAGUCCCGCAACGAGCGCAACCCUUAUCAUUAGUAGCCAGCAGGUAGAGCUGGGGACUCUAGUGAGACUGCCAGGGAGAACCUGGAGGAAGGUGGGGAUGACGUCAAAUCAUCAUGCCCCUUAUGAUUUGGGCUACACACGUGCUACAAUGGCGUAAACAGAGGGAGGCGAAAGUGAGAGCUGGAGCGAACCCCAAAAAUAACGUCUCAGUUCGGAUUGUAGUCUGCAACUCGAUUACAUGAAGCUGGAAUCGCUAGUAAC